UACGGAGGGUGCAAGCGUUAAUCGGAAUUACUGGGCGUAAAGCGCACGCAGGUGGCUGAGUCAGUCGAUUGUGAAAGCCCUGGGCUUAACCUAGGAAUUGCAGUCGAUACUACUCAGCUAGAGUAUGGGAGAGGGCAGUGGAAUUCCCGGUGUAGCGGUGAAAUGCGUAGAUAUCGGGAGGAACAUCAGUGGCGAAGGCGGCUGCCUGGCCCAAUACUGACACUCA
rnacentral:rRNA from 1 species